rnacentral:lncRNA from 1 species
GCCCUCCCGGGGUGUGUUGCGAAGUGUUUAACUUACCGCGUCGUUGGCUGGACUCAUGCUUCCUAUAAGAAAUAGAGGAAGCCCGUGUAUCCGCUAUAGUUAUACCACGGCUUUGUUAUAGCAAAACUUAAACUUUAGACUGUCGGCCGAAAGUGGUGCUUGUAAGUAAGCAGGCGAGUCUGCGUAGUCAUAGCAAGUGUAAGUCUCGACUCAUGGAUUGCCUUGGGCUUUUAGCCAUUGGGUUGUCGGGCGGGCAUCUUACUUGCAAAAGAAGAUGACCUGUGUAACCACUUCAGGUAUCAUCCCUGGCUCUCGAAGGCAUUUUAGGCGUGAGGUGUAGGGAAAACGGUGCCUCAGAGGCUAUAUCCUUCCGAGUCGCAACUUUGAUUUCGUAGGUUGCUUAACUAGUAUUGUACCACUUUAAAACCAAGUCGCUUCAUGAAGAUUUGCACAUCAAGACAAACCAUCUUGCCACGAGAAUUCUUUUAUAGGCAGAUGUCCUGCAAUUAGCAUCUCUUCCAGUUAGAGACCUGGGAUCCCGCAUAAUUGAAUCCGUCAGUUGGCUAAUUUAUUCCAAGGGAAAGACUAUUGUGGCCAAUUAUGGGAAUCGUCAGGUGCAAGUAGUCGCUGCAUUCAAGGGAAGCUAAGCAGUCGUACAACCCAUCUACGUAUGGAUGUUCCAAAUUAGUUUACCUUCUCGCUUUGGAGAGCUUACCCAGAUAGGUGUCGGGGAAUUAGUUUACCGUCUCGUGCUGGAGAGUUUACCCAGAUGGGUGUCGGGGAAUUAGUUUACACUCUCGCGCUGGAGAGCUUGCCCUGAUGGGUGUUGGGGAAUCAGUGAACCCUCUUGCGCUAGAAAGCUUACCCAGAUGGGUGUUGGGGAAUUAGUUUACACUAUCGCGCUGGAGAGCUUACCCAGAUGGGGCUUUGAGCAGUUGUUGUAGGCAGCAGUUGAGCUAGGUUUGUGAAAAUUGCAUAACAACUAGGAUAAUCCUCGGCCUACGAGGUCUUGUUCGUCGAACUGCUUAAGACUUCAAACUUAUUUGGAUGGGCCUAAACAGAGUUCAGAAGGUCUUAGACUUAAAACUCAUUAUUCUUUGCUUGGUUGCUACUUAGCAGGCGUUUCAUCAUUUAGUUCCAAAUACUAGAACUCAUGCCUGUUUCAUUCAAAGCAUGAUAUUGAUUUGGAUAACACAUGAACAAGAUGGAGUUGUUUAGUGAACCAAGAGCCAAAAAGCCGACCCUCUGUGCAUUGUGUUUAGGCUUUAACCCCGUUGAGCCUCGUUUAGCCUAUGUUCUUUGUUAACCCACAUACUCUCUACCAAGCCUAGAAUAGGACCAUCUAUACCCUUAUUCUUGAAGCAUAGUGGAGCAUAAAUAAGAGGGAAUUCCUUUUGAUCCAAAUGAUGCAGAAAAGCAAGUGUGGGAGAAGGGAUUUUUGUGUGUGUGUGCGUGCCAAAGUCUCAAAAAGGGCAUGGGUAGAAAAGAAAAAGAAAAAUUCGUGAAAAAAAAAAGUUGAAUUCGAACCUAAAUGAUGUGUGAUUCUUCCCCUUGUGUGUCUAAGUUAGUGGCUGCAUUCUAAAUUGAAUUCUAAGUGUCAAUUUCAGUACUUUGCUUGCUAUUGCUUUAAGAAUGGAUUGUUAUCCUUACCCUUCUUUGUUAGCCAAUACCCUUAAGCUCCGUUACAACCCUUUAACUUCAAUCUCGGGUGUUGUGUGUUUCAAUAUGUGGAGUUUGGAAUUGAUAUGAGCGUAUGGUAUCCCUGGUUCUCGCAUCUAAGAGUAGCAUUCCAUUCAUGAGAUCAUAUCUAAAUGCUUAAUAACUCCAGAAAAUGCUUUCUUUGUUAUAAACAUAUGUGAGUGCUAGUUUAGAUGUUUGUAUCAAUCUUCUCACAUAUAAUUAGUGUAGGGUGUGUAGUCAAAAAAUCUAUGUGAAAAUAUAGAGUAUCUUGUAAGGAAUUGAAUGAAUUCUCUAAGGCAUGUUACUACAUUCAAACCAUUGUUUCAAUUGAUUGAUUGUGAGCUAGUAAGUGCCGACUGUGAUUAAGUAUGUGCUCGAGUGUAAGGAUAACUAAAUUUGUGGGAAUAAUGAUUUUUAACAUGUCAUGUGCAUUGGAAAUUCCUGAGGCAAAUGUUGGAAGGAUUAGAGUGUGUUUUGUUUACUUUGUUUUGUUUUGUUUGGUUCGUUUUGCUCGAGGACUAGCAAAAGCUAAGUGUGGGGGAAUUUGAUAGAAGCAUAUUUAUGCGACUUAGCUAGCUUGUUUUCGUGCAUUUUUGUUGUUAUUCCUUAGUUAUUUUAGUGUUUAAAGUCAUUUUCGUGCAAUUUCAGGUUCUAAGGACAAAGUAUUCAAAAAGGUGCAUUUUGGAGCCUUUUGGAGCAGUCUUGGGCAUGAAUUGAAUAGUUUAUGCUUGGAGCAAUGUAGAUGGACGAAUUGAAGACCAAAGUAUGCUAGGAAUCAGCUAAAGAGAGGAAGAAAUAUUAAUUCAAGUCAAGGAAGGAAAAGGAAUCCAAGAAGAAGAAGGAUUGACAAGUCAAAGUUUCCUAAUCCUAAUUUACAAAGGUUUCAGCCAUAAUUAAGUUUCCUAGUCAAUUUGGGACACUUAAAUCUUAGUCCAAGGGGGAGCCGCACCUUACUCUUCAUUCCUCUUUCCUUGCCGCACAAGGUUGUUGAUUUCCUUUCAAUUUAAGACACAAUUGCAAGGAAGUAAUCUACUUACCAUUUUUCCUUCCGUUGCCACACCUCCCUUACCUUUUCCUUAGGAUUCUGACUUUAAUUCCUAUUUCCCUUUAAGUUUUGGUUUAAUUUUUGUUACCUAAAUUAUUUCCUAGCCUUAAAUACCCUAAGGUCUUUAAAUAAACACCCUAGCCGCAUUCUCUAGGAUUCAUUCACCAUUCUACAUAUCCAUUCACUCCUAUACACAAUUCCAGCUAUUCUCCUUUCAUUGCCACAACCCCAUUCAACCUUAUCACAUCUCUGACCCCUUCAUUCAGCCAUAAACAUCCAUAGUCACUUGUGCCGUAGCAAGGUGGGGAAGAAGAAGGGCUUUGACGUUUCAAGCUUGAAGAUUGGAGCGUUUUAGGUGUACUUCGUUCUUGUUUUCAAUGUCUACUUUAUUAUUCUCUAAUUUUGCUGUAACUAUGAGCGGCUAAACGCCUACUUAGCUAGAGGGAAGGUCAAAGCCAUGAACAUCCUUGAGAUAUGAAUUGAUUUCUUCCAAUUAUGAUGAUAAGUUGUGAAUGCAAUUCAAUUAACUGUUUUCUUCAAAACAGAUUCUUGUAUGUUGAUUAAGGAUGCAUACUUAUUUUUCAUGCAUGAAUUUGAUGCUAGAAUAUAAAUGAGUGUCACCAAAUUGUUACAACUUUAUAUUCAUGAGUAGUGAAGGUUGCUAGUCACAAUUGUGUUAAUUGAAUUCUUGGCAAACAUAUCAUGCAUUCAUAGUUACAAAUGUCUCGUGAACACUUAUGAUUUUCAUGGAACGUAAUGAUCUCUGAUUGUAUCUCUAUUAUGCAUUCAUGUAGGGGACCUUUGGAGAAUGAUUUGGGUUGUCGCAUGCAUUCAUCCAAUUCAAUAAGUAAAGGAAAAUCUGAGGGUUAAUUAGUGCAUCACGGUUAAUCUGGAUUGUUGAGUUUCAUAAUUUAUUGAAAAGCAAUUGGAAAUCGAUUCAUGUACAAGUGUGUCAUGUGUGAAGAAUGGACCUCUAGCUAAUCCAUCAACCAUCUUAUUUCCCAAAAUUCGUUUUACAAUCUGUUUAGUUUUACAAUUUGUUUGUUUCAAAUUCGUCAAAACCAAAACCCUCUUUUACUUUCUUGUUUCAAACUGUUUAAAAUCUUUUUUUUAUAUAUAUGUUUUUGAGUCAGUUUGGAGGUUAUUAGCAAGCCCUCCUAAUCCCCAUUCCAGAACGAUCCCUACAUGCAUCUUUACUACAAUUUGACAACAAGAGGGUUUAAUUUGAGUGUUGGAUUAUCUCACAUCAGUUGUGGGGCACGUGGUUUGCCCUGUGCUGCUCAUCAUGGCUCUUGGUAGGGGCUGCCAAUGGAACUUGAGCUGGACUGCUCAUGUGCUCUUCUUUAGGCGUUAUGCAGCUACCUACUCUAUUGCCUCGUAGGAGGAUCUCCUUGUGUGCCUAGCCUCGUAUGGACUAUUCGCGUGGAAUGUCCUGAGCACUCAUCAGAGUGUGGACCCAACCUCGAGUGCACACUGACCCGUGAGUCGAGUCUGGAAUGAACACUUCUCUAUGCAUUUAGGCAGCAGAAGACAUUUCCCCUAGAGUCCAAACGAGAGUGCACACUACCCGAACACACUGUUUGUGGUGGGUUGAGUAGCUUUUUGUUGUGAUGUCGCUAGAAUGAGUCACGUUCUUCUGCCCUUAUCUUGCUUCGGGACACCUCAUUUGGGGCACAUUGCAUCUUGAUGCGCUCGAGGAGUUGGUUCAACAAGGUAGUCUACUACGCGAGGGGGUUCGUCAAAUUAGUGACCUGCUAGGGCAGAUGGUGCUUGCCAUUUGGAUUGAAAGAGUUUGGAUGAUGGGCAUCUCCAUGCGUGGUGAAAGUAUAGUAAACUGGAGGUACAAAACUUGAGCUCAAAGCGGGCAUUCCUGCAGAAAAGUAAGGUGUAAGUAACCCAGAAUUGACCGUGGUACCUGUGGUCAGAAUCUAGAUUGCUGGAGGUGGCCUUGGAAUAGAUUGGGCUGCGGGUUGGGUCAUGGGGUGCGUUAGACCAGUGUGUGCUCAUCUUGGGCUUGCAUGGUCGUUGGGCUGCCACAUGUUGGCCUACUAGCUAGAUGGCUUAGGCCUAGGCCCAUUGAGUUGUUUAGCUGGUAGUAGCUACUG